rnacentral:rRNA from 1 species
GCCAGACUCCUACGGGAGGCAGCAGUGGGGGAUAUUGCACAAUGGGGGAAACCCUGAUGCAGCGACGCCGCGUGGGCGAAGAAGUAUUUCGGUAUGUAAAGCCCUAUCAGCAGGGAAGAAGAAAUGACGGUACCUGAGUAAGAAGCACCGGCUAAAUACGUGCCAGCAGCCGCGGUAAUACGUAUGGUGCAAGCGUUAUCCGGAUUUACUGGGUGUAAAGGGGGCGCAGACGGCGAUGCAAGCCAGGAGUGAAAGCCCGGGGCCCAACCCCGGGACUGCUCUUGGAACUGCGUGGCUGGAGUGCAGGAGGGGCAGGCGGAAUUCCUGGUGUAGCGGUGAAAUGCGUAGAUAUCAGGAGGAACACCAGUGGCGAAGGCGGCUUACUGGACUGUAACUGACGUUGAGGCGCGAAAGCGUGGGGAGCAAACAGGAUUAGAUACCCCUGUAAA